rnacentral:rRNA from 1 species
GAUGAACGCUAGCGAUAGGCUUAACACAUGCAAGUCGAGGGGCAGCACAAGGUAGCUUGCUAUCUGGGUGGCGACCGGCGCACGGGUGCGUAACGCGUAUGCAACUUUCCCUAUACAGGAGGAUAAACCGUCGAAAGACGGACUAAUACUGCGUAUGCUCACAACUUGGCAUCAAGUGGUGAGGAAAGAAAUUCGGUAUAGGAUAGGCAUGCGUCCCAUUAGCUUGUUGGUGAGGUAACGGCUCACCAAGGCAACGAUGGGUAGGGGAACUGAGAGGUUUAUCCCCCACACUGGUACUGAGACACGGACCAGACUCCUACGGGAGGCAGCAGUGAGGAAUAUUGGUCAAUGGGCGCGAGCCUGAACCAGCCAAGUCGCGUGAAGGAUGACUGUCCUAUGGAUUGUAAACUUCUUUUAUACGGGAAUAACAAGAGUCACGUGUGACUCCCUGCAUGUACCGUAUGAAUAAGCAUCGGCUAACUCCGUG